UACGUAGGCAGCGAGCGUUGUUCGGAGUUACUGGGCGUAAAGGGUGUGUAGGCGGUUGUUUAAGUUUGGUGUGAAAUCUCCCGGCUCAACUGGGAGGGUGCGCCGAAUACUGAAUGACUUGGAGUGCGGGGGAGGAGAGUGGAAUUCCUGGUGUAGCGGUGAAAUGCGUAGAUAUCAGGAGGAACACCGGUGGUGUAGACGGCUCUCUGGACCGUAACUGACGCUGAGACACGAAAGCGUGGGUAGCAAACAGG
rnacentral:rRNA from 1 species